rnacentral:rRNA from 1 species
CCUACGGGAGGCAGCAGUGAGGAAUAUUGGUCAAUGGGCGGAAGCCUGAACCAGCCAAGUAGCGUGCAGGAUGACGGCCCUACGGGUUGUAAACUGCUUUUAUACGGGAAUAACGCGCCUUACGUGUAGGGCUUUGCAUGUACCGUAUGAAUAAGGACCGGCUAAUUCCGUGCCAGCAGCCGCGGUAAUACGGAAGGUCCGGGCGUUAUCCGGAUUUAUUGGGUUUAAAGGGAGCGUAGGCCGCAUGUCAAGCGUGCUGUGAAAUGUCCGGGCUCAACCCGGGCCUUGCAGCGCGAACUGGCGUGCUUGAGUCCGCGGAAAGCAGGCGGAAUUCGUCGUGUAGCGGUGAAAUGCUUAGAUAUGACGAAGAACCCCGAUUGCGAAGGCAGCCUGCUGCAGCGGAACUGACGCUGAUGCUCGAAAGCGCGGGUAUCGAACAGGAUUAGAUACCCGGGUAGUC